rnacentral:rRNA from 1 species
GACGAACGCUGGCGGCGUGCCUAAUACAUGCAAGUCGAGCGGACUUUUUAAAAGCUUGCUUUUAAAAGUUAGCGGCGGACGGGUGAGUAACACGUGGGCAACCUGCCCUGUAGAUUGGGAUAACUCCGGGAAACCGGGGCUAAUACCGAAUAAUCCAUUUUGCUUCAUGGCGAGAUGUUGAAAGACGGUUUCGGCUGUCACUACAAGAUGGGCCCGCGGCGCAUUAGCUAGUUGGUAGGGUAAUGGCCUACCAAGGCGACGAUGCGUAGCCGACCUGAGAGGGUGAUCGGCCACACUGGGACUGAGACACGGCCCAGACUCCUACGGGAGGCAGCAGUAGGGAAUCUUCCACAAUGGACGAAAGUCUGAUGGAGCAACGCCGCGUGAGUGAAGAAGGUUUUCGGAUCGUAAAACUCUGUUGUAAGGGAAGAACACGUACGAGAGUAACUGCUCGUACCUUGACGGUACCUUAUUAGAAAGCCACGGCUAACUACGUG